rnacentral:rRNA from 1 species
UACGAAGGGUGCAAGCGUUAAUCGGAAUUACUGGGCGUAAAGGGAGCGUAGGCGGCUUUUUAAGUCGGAUGUGAAAUCCCCGGGCUUAACCUGGGAAUGGCAUCCGAUACUGGGGAGCUAGAGUUUGGGAGAGGGUGAUGGAAUUCCCGGUGUAGCGGUGAAAUGCGUAGAGAUCCGGAAGAACACCGGUGGCGAAGGCGGCCUGCUGGGCAGUGGCUGACACUGAGGCGCGACAGCGUGGGGAGCAAACAGG